rnacentral:rRNA from 1 species
GAUGAACGCUGGCGGCGUGCCUAAUACAUGCAAGUCGAGCGAACAGACGAGGAGCUUGCUCCUUUGACGUUAGCGGCGGACGGGUGAGUAACACGUAGGUAACCUACCUAUAAGACUGGGAUAACUUCGGGAAACCGGAGCUAAUACCGGAUAAUAUUUCUAACCGCAUGGUUCGAUAGUGAAAGAUGGAUUUGCUAUCACUUAUAGAUGGACCUGCGCCGUAUUAGCUAGUUGGUAAGGUAACGGCUUACCAAGGCAACGAUAAGUAGCCGACCUGAGAGGUGGAUCGGCCACACUGGAACUGGGACACGGUCAAGACUCCUACGGGAGGAGGCAGUAGGAAAUCUUCCGCAAUGGGCGAAAGCCUGACGGAGCAACGCCGCGUGAGUGAUGAAGGUCUUCGGAUCUAAAAACUCUGUGAUUAGGGAAGAACAAACGGGUAAGUAACUGUGCACGUCUUGACGGUACCUAAUCAGAAAGCCACGGCUAACUACGUG